CGAACGCUGGCGGCGUGCUUAACACAUGCAAGUCGAGCGAUGAAGCCCCUUCGGGGGUGGAUUAGCGGCGGACGGGUGAGUAACACGUGGGUAACCUGCCUCAAAGAGGGGGAUAGCCUCCCGAAAGGGAGAUUAAUACCGCAUAAAGCAGAAUUCCACAUGGAGUUUUGAUGAAAGGAGUAAUCCGCUUUGAGAUGGACCCGCGGCGCAUUAGCUAGUUGGUGGGGUAACGGCCUACCAAGGCAACGAUGCGUAGCCGACCUGAGAGGGUGAUCGGCCACAUUGGAACUGAGAGACGGUCCAGACUCCUACGGGAGGCAGCAGUGGGGAAUAUUGCACAAUGGGCGAAAGCCUGAUGCAGCAACGCCGCGUGAGUGAUGAAGGUCUUCGGAUUGUAAAGCUCUGUCUUCUGGGACGACAAUGACGGUACCAGAGGAGGAAGCCACGGCUAACUACGUGCCAGCAGCCGCGGUAAUACGUAGGUGGCAAGCGUUGUCCGGAUUUACUGGGCGUAAAGGGUGCGCAGGCGGAUAUUUAAGUGGGAUGUGAAAUCCCCGGGCUUAACCUGGGGGCUGCAUUCCAAACUGGAUAUCUAGAGUGCAGGAGAGGAGAAUGGAAUUCCUAGUGUAGCGGUGAAAUGCGUAGAGAUUAGGAAGAACACCAGUGGCGAAGGCGAUUCUCUGGACUGUAACUGACGCUGACGCACGAAAGCGUGGGUAGCAAACAGGAUUAGAUACCCUGGUAGUCCACGCCGUAAACGAUGAGUACUAGGUGUAGGAGGUAUCGACCCCUUUCUGUGC
rnacentral:rRNA from 1 species